UAGAGAGACUGCCGGUGACAAACCGGAGGAAGGUGGGGAUGACGUCAAGUCCUCAUGGCCCUUAUGGGUAGGGCUUCACACGUCAUACAAUGGUGCGUACAGAGGGUUGCCAACCCGCGAGGGGGAGCUAAUCCCAGAAAACGCAUCGUAGUCCGGAUCGUAGUCUGCAACUCGACUACGUGAAGCUGGAAUCGCUAGUAAUCGCGGAUCAGCAUGCCGCGGUGAAUACGUUCCCGGGUCUUGUACACACCGCCCGUCACACCAUGGGAGUGGGUUUUGCCAGAAGUAGUUAGCCUAACCGCAAGGAGGGC
rnacentral:rRNA from 1 species